GUCAGGAUGACCGAGCGGUCCAAGGCGCUGCGUUCAGGUCGCAGUCUGGUUCUCCAGGUGUGGGUUCAAAUCCCACUCCUGACA
rnacentral:tRNA from 1 species